AUUGAACGCUGGCGGCAGGCCUAACACAUGCAAGUCGAGCGGAUGAAGGGAGCUUGCUCCUGGAUUCAGCGGCGGACGGGUGAGUAAUGCCUAGGAAUCUGCCUGGUAGUGGGGGAUAACGUCCGGAAACGGGCGCUAAUACCGCAUACGUCCUGAGGGAGAAAGUGGGGGAUCUUCGGACCUCACGCUAUCAGAUGAGCCUAGGUCGGAUUAGCUAGUUGGUGGGGUAAAGGCCUACCAAGGCGACGAUCCGUAACUGGUCUGAGAAGAUGAUCAGUCACACUGGAACUGAGACACGGUCCAGACUCCUACGGGAGGCAGCAGUGGGGAAUAUUGGACAAAGGGCGAAAGCCUGAUCCAGCCAUGCCGCGUGUGUGAAGAAGGUCUUCGGAUUGUAAAGCACUUUAAGUUGGGAGGAAGGGCAGUAAGUUAAUACCUUGCUGUUUUGACGUUACCAACAGAAUAAGCACCGGCUAACUUCGUG
rnacentral:rRNA from 1 species